rnacentral:rRNA from 1 species
UUUAUGGAGAGUUUGAUCCUGGCUCAGGAUGAACGCUGGCGGCGUGCCUAAUACAUGCAAGUCGAGCGAACGGACGAGAAGCUUGCUUCUCUGAUGUUAGCGGCGGACGGGUGAGUAACACGUGGAUAACCUACCUAUAAGACUGGGAUAACUUCGGGAAACCGGAGUUAAUACCGGAUAAUAUUUU